GAUGAACGCUAGCGGCAGGCCUAACACAUGCAAGUCGAGGGGUAGAAGUUGCUUGCAACUUUGAGACCGGCGCACGGGUGCGUAACGCGUAUGCAAUCUGCCUUGUACUGAGGGAUAGCCCAGAGAAAUUUGGAUUAAUACCUCAUAGUAUUAUGGUGUGGCAUCACAUUAUAAUUAAAGUUCCAACGGUACAAGAUGAGCAUGCGUCCCAUUAGUUAGUUGGUAAGGUAACGGCUUACCAAGAAGAUGAUGGGUAGGGGUCCUGAGAGGGAGAACCCCCACACUGGUACUGAGACACGGACCAGGCUCCUCCGGGAGGCAGCAGGGAGGAAUAUUGGUCAAUGGGCGCAAGCCUGAACCAGCCAUGCCGCGUGCAGGAUGCCGGUCCUAUGGAUUGUAAACUGCUUUUAUACGGGAAGAAACACUCCUACGUGUAGGAACUUGACGGUACCGUAAGAAUAAGGAUCGGCUAACUCCGUGCCAGCAGCCGCCGUAAUAC
rnacentral:rRNA from 1 species